rnacentral:rRNA from 1 species
UAUUGGACAAUGGGGGAAACCCUGAUCCAGCCAUCCCGCGCGUAUGAUGAAGGCCUUCGGGUUGUAAAGUACUUUUGGCAGAGAAGAAAAGGUACCUCCUAAUACGAGGUACUGCUGACGGUAUCUGCAGAAUAAGCACCGGCUACCGACGUGCCAGCAGCAGCGGUAAUACGUAGGGUGCAAGCGUUAAUCGGACUUCCUGGGAGUAAAGCGUGUGUAGGCGGUUCGGACAGAAAGAUGUGAAAUCCCAGGGCUCAACCUUGGAAAUGCAUUUUUAACUGCCGAGCUAGAGUAUGUCAGAGGGGGGUAGAAUUCCACGUGUAGCAGUGAAAUGCGUAGAUAUGUGGAGGAAUACCGAUGGCGAAGGCAGCCCCCUGGGAUAAUACUGACGCUCAGACACGAAAGCGUGGGGAGCAAACA